AGAGUUUGAUCCUGGCUCAGGACGAACGCUGGCGGCAUGCCUUACACAUGCAAGUCGAACGGCAGCACGGGAGCAAUCCUGGUGGCGAGUGGCGAACGGGUGAGUAAUACAUCGGAACGUGUCCUGUAGUGGGGGAUAGCCCGGCGAAAGCCGGAUUAAUACCGCAUACGCUCUACGGAGGAAAGGGGGGGAUCUUCGGA
rnacentral:rRNA from 1 species